UUUUCGACGUCCUCGCCGCAAAAUGUUCAUGUACUCGGAAACCAGCAGACAUAUCGCGAAAUGGCAUGCACUUCAUGUGGAGGUCAACAAAGGAUCGACCAAACCGACGAAAUGCUAGAAACUGCAGAUUAACAAAAGAUCAAGCGACACUGGCAAAUAUGAAUUAGCCAACUUGAACACCUCCCGCUUUGUGAAUCUUCCCGCCUGCGUCGUUUGAACAGUUUACCUGAUGAUGUGAACGCGCAGACAAGGAGGCUAUAGGCGGCUUGACUUGGAUUACUCUUCCGCCCACGUCAUCCAAUUCGCUUCUUUGCAGUUUUACCAACUGAUUGAUUUGUCGUCUUUAACUUAUAGAAUCUUCUGUUAUGUGUAGAAUGUCCUGUUACUUCCAGAACAUCUUGUUAACUCGUGCUUCGGCAAACAUUUCUUUAGGCUUAUCACGCAGACCGAUUGCUUGCAAAGUUCAGUCGCAAGCCAUCUAUGUUUCAUUCAAUGAUAAAGUGACUGUAGCCUUCGGGAUAUGAGCCUUUAUGCCAAGUCUGCUUUACGGUAAUUGACCCCCUCCGUCAAGUUUAAUUAAACUCAAGGAACACAUAUCGUAGGAAUGACAACAUCGGCUGCAGUUUUUUUUCCAAUAGUAUCUUUUUUUAACAUAUAACUGGAUUAGCCCUGCCAUUGUAACGUUUGACUUGAAUAAAUCAGAAGUACAAUAUUCUAAGUAUAUAUGUGUUGGAAAUUUUAGGUUGCAACUUUGCUUAAAUGGAUAUGGCUCUAGCUAAGAGACCCCAGAUGAAGCCACCCGUUUACGUUGGAUGAAAUACUGUAAUAUCAAAUGACGAAACGAUCGUUAGUGUCAAACGAGACCAGGGGACACCAUUAUCGAGGAUAUUUAUCUUUGUGAUGCCAACUCGUUCUCGAUAACCGUGUAAAAUUUGCCUCACCGAAGAAACAUCUCCGUACCAUCAAAAUAGCAGAUUUCUUUCGUUCACUCCAAGCAAAAAGCAUUUCUCUGCAGUCAUUUCUAGGUGAUAUGACGGGGUGUGAUUCCGGGGCUUUCUCCUCGCUUUGUCUUCCUCUUGGCUUUGAGUGCUUAGAUUGUCUCACAAGUAACCUGUUGCCCCCUUGCCACGAUCCGCUGAAAAACUGAAUUUCAAGUGUUGGCCAAACUUUCCGCCCCACCAAAUCAUGGUGUGUGCUGACUGGGUCUUGGGGAAGAGAUGUUGUGAAGUGUGAACCUCAGAAAGGUCUUGUAAAGAUGGAGGAUUUUGGCCUGACACAAAAACGGAGGAGGAAAGGUCUCCAUCCUGAUUUUCGCGGCCGACGUCUGGCGGAGCUCAGCCCUGCCCUCCUUCCUGCCCAGCGAGCCGGGGAGCAGCAUGAGUCAGAGCCGGGGGCCCCCGCUUACCUGUCCCAGCCUCAUGACACUCGCGAAAGCGGUGACCUUGUGGCUGUGAUGUCACUGCCACGCUCACCAGCCACUGUGUCUGCAUCCCGAGGACCUGGGGUCACGGGACCUGCCCGCUGUCUGGUCUCCUCAUUUGACUGAGAAUAAUACUGAUGUGGGGACCAGUGAUAUGGAAAGUAAGUGAAAAAUCUGACAGGUACUUUUGCACAUUUAAUGCAUGGAAAGUCAUAAAAUGGGACAUUGCAGACAUGUAAUACAGGGAUAAAAUAGUUUGGCAGGAGAUCGUGAUAUAAAUUUAUUUAAAAAAUAAAACAUUUGAAACAUUUCUUUAAUUAAGCAAAAACUGACAGCAGUUAAACGUUUUUUGCCAUACUGUAUCGUUUUUAUAAAUAAUAGAAAAACAACAAGCAAUAGUCUGUACAGGAAACCAUGAAAAAACAGAAUUACCCUUCAGAAUUAAUGUGUGUUUUAAAUAAAAGUAUUGCAUGAAGAGUUGCAUGGACGGUACAUUUGUUUUUCAUUUUUCAUUAUCUUUUCAUACUUUUAAAAAAAUUCAGUGAUGCAUGCAAAAGCGUAGCAGAGAGUUUGAUAUUGGGUGGGACACAACUCACUUUAAGUCUGGAUGCAUGUUUGUAUGUUAUUUAUACAGAUGGUAUAAUUUCGGUAACAUUUAAACAUUAUUUCAGGGCAGCAAAAAUACUGAUGUAUUCAAUAUGAAAAUGAGGAUAAUAAGAAAAUAUGUUUACUGUCUUAAUGACAUGAGCUGCGGAUCUGCUUGGGUGCCUGUCCCUGAUGGAGCAGGUUGGAGUCAGAGACAAGGUGCCUUAUGUGGACCGUGGAUACGUGCAGGUCACAGAAGCUCGGGGGUAUAAGGCCUGCAGUCUGGCUUCUGGGAAACUCUACUGUUCAGUGUUUGCUGGCAUGUUUGGAGUGAUACUCCAGUUAAUUGGGGCAUGAUUAGAUGGAAGGUCUCUCUGACCGCGGAGGUCAGGAAGGACUUGGGACAAACAGAGAGGGCCGUACUGUGGGUACCGGGGAUUGGGCAGUGAGGGUGGAGGUGAUUAUAUGGGGGCUCCCACUUUGGGUUUGCCCUCCCACAUCUAACUGGUGGAUUUUCUUGAGGAGGGUUGGGUGGUGCAUGGUGAGAGUGGCAUAAGUGACAUGGUGGGGUUAGGAGACGUCUCUAAAUGGGCGGGGCAGGUGCGGGGCGGUUCAGGAUCAGGUGAGGUGGGCUGGACGUGUCCCACAAGGGCUGACCGGGGGCUGCUUUGGGUGUGGGUCUCCUGGGCGAACUGUGAGUGAGCUGAGGCUUCUGUGAAGGCCGCACACACACUGGUCUGUAAGCAGCCCUGGCUGCUGUGAAUCCAGCUUACGCAACACCGCAAACAUUAAAUGGACAAACAAGAGAGAAAACAACCCUCUUUCAGCUGAUUGUGCUUUCGUGUAAAUUAUGCUUUUAAAAACUUCAAAAUCAUAAGAAAAAAAACUUAAGUAUGCUUUGCAGUAUCUUUUCAUUAGAUGUUUGCUUUUCAUCAUUUAUUUUUGUUGGUUUUGAAUGCAUAAUUUAAACAAUUCAGGUGAUGUUUUGUUUCAAAAACAUUUAACCUUAAAUAAUCACUUAAUUUGUCUUUAUAUUUACAUUCAUUUAUUUGGCAGAAGCUUUUGUCCAAAGCAACGAACCAGUGAAGCAAACAGCACAUUACAAACAUACAAUACAACUCAAAAAGUGUGCGAAAAUAUAAGAGUAUUUCAUCUGUGUAUUUCAGAAAUGCUUCUGUCCUACUAAGUUUGAAAUAAUUCCAACAGUGUUGUCAAUAGUGUCGUCUCGUAGUGCUGAUUUUAAUUUUGCCGUUUAACACAUAAAGUUGGAGAGACAGAGACAGAGACAAACUGUAUAAGCAUAGUAAGCGUUAUAAUUACAGCAAUCAUUCGUGUGAUCAUGGGUGAUAAUUUGUUUUAUCAGUGGAAUAUGUUAAAUGUGCCACAGCCAAAUUGUUAGAGCUUGUGAGGUAAACACUGAACUUAUGAAUUUGAUGUAUCAGGUAAAAACAAGCGUGUUUGAAGCAUUAGGUGUGUGUGAUUCUGUGUGUUUGUGUGUAUAUACAUGAAUUUGGAAAAUUUUGGCUCUUUUGAAUGAUAGGAGACUGGGAAAAAUCAGGGAGGGUUUAAAAAUAUAUAAUUCAUAACAAUUUAACUAAAAUAGUCUUAUUAAGAUCAGGUAGAAUGUUUUAAAUUGGAUUAUUGAAAGUUUUGGCACUAAUUCCAUUAAUAGUUUUAUUUUUUCUUCCAUUUCUGACUUUCUGUGUCUCCCUGUCCCCGUGUAUGUGUAUAUCUCAUGUAUAUGACUGAGUGUGUCUCUGGACUCUUGUUCAAACCUGUACGCCCAGCAGCCUGGAUAGAUGUGGACGAGGGGACAGAGAAGUGGCCAGGUUGGGAAAAGGCAGACCACCCCCGGUUGGUCUUGGUGUCCGGUCUGGCAUGUCUGCAGCGGAGCAAUAGAUGUGGUGUCGGUUUGUCAUGGCAAAUAGCCCAGCACUGCUGCACAGGUCCUGCAUGAUUAACCUGUCGUCACAAAAUUAUCAUGGCAGAAUUCAUCACGUGUUUAUUAUCAAUAGGAGUCAUGUUGCUGUCAUAUGUAUGCAAAAUGUAAUUGUACUUGGAAGAAUAUGUGCAAGAUAUUUUAGGACUGCAGCUUAAAAACAGAAAAUAUAUGUUUGUUUUAUCUCUUAUGUGAGUGUAAUAUGCCUAUAUGUAAAAUGUAUAACUAUUGUGAUGUGUACAGGCAGAAAUAUCAGAAAAAUAAUUUGACAGAGGUUGAGUAAUAUAAGUUUGUGGCUUGGUCUUUCACAGGUAAUCCAAUACCUUGAAGGUACUGGAAGUUUCGGACUAGGAUGUAGAAGAGCAGGAGAAGGCUGGGAUUUAGGAGAUGGGAAUUACAAAGCUCUGGGAACGAUGGGAAAUAUGAGGGAGCAGCAGCGAAGACGUGCACAGAACUGGACUAACUAUACAUGUGUCGUCGAGCACUUAUGAAAGCUAAAGGCGGCGGCCAGUCACUGUAUAUCAGGUAGGUACCAUCCCCCAGCUGCUGAGGAACCUUCUCAGUUGGCAAAGAGGCGAGACGCUGCAGAAAAGGGUUCGAGCUAACUUAUUUAUUUAACAUGCUCUGCUAGAAAAUAAAGCAGGAUAUCGUUUGAUCGUUCAACUUCUUUUAAUAUGUUCUUAGAUUGUUUUUAUUGAAUGGUAAGAUUCCCAGCUCCAAUGACUAAAUAAAUAUGCUUCCUCCAUUUUGUUGAUGUCAGAUUAAAAUGCUGAAUACAGAGUGACAAGAACGUAGCUAUAGAAAAGGCUGGUACAGGAUAAUCGCAUUAAGUAAAAAGUAGAAAAAUGCUGGUAGGUGGUGUGGACCUGAAUUUGCGUGUGUGUUAAAUCAGGUGAGAGAAGACCUCCACUCAUGGGUAGCUGAGGUCUGUAGAGGUGACGGGCACACUGGCUAUGGUUCCUCUGAGUAUGGCUACGCACAAGCGAUUAAAGGGGUUUUGAAGAGCCUACGGCUCAGACGUCCAGCACACGUGUGUCUCCCAGGUCAGGGUAGUUAGCUGUCACGUCGUCCCAGAUAGCAGGGAUCUCUGGACAGCCAUGUUCCAUUUCUUCCCUACAGGUCUGACAAACACUUGAGCUAUAGGUGGAAGGUCUGAAUAAAAAGUUCAUCCAGAGCACGGUACAUGAUUUCCCAGGUCUCUCUCCCUAGAUAAAUAUCACAGCUUUGACGAACACAGGUAGAUAGCAGUGUUUCACCUGUAAAUUUACACAUCAGGAUUAGACACCAUGAUAGUUGUUUGUUGCCCAAGGAGUGCGACUGGGUUGAUUGCUGGAUUCUAAUCAGAAUAUAAUGGGAAGACUGGAGAUGUGGAAGUUUUAUAGCGGAGCAUUUGGGGACCUCUUUGCAUUGUACCUGACUGUUUGAAGUUGAAGGCAUUUACUGUAGGGCACUGUUUUAGGGUGCCAUGUGUGUUAAGCGUCGGAACGUGCAUGCCCACGUGUGUCCUGCCAUCUCGUGGGGCCUGCCGCUGGGAGGGGCGAUGUUACAGGAGGCAACUGGCAGGGAUUCAUCACGAAAUGUAUAUCGUGUCUUUUUGGACAUAUAUGUUGGUAACAGCUCCAGUGUGCUUUUGUUGUUUAGUCUCUGUGCUUUUACGUAGCUGCUGGUUCUGGGAGCUACGGCACGAUCUGUGCCAACAGACGGCGGACGAGGCACACGUGUGACCAUGAGCCCAAAUUUCUAAAAAGACCUUUACGCUAUUUUAUGCAACUUUUAAAAACAUUUAAUGUGCUGCUAAAUGAGCAGGCUUUGAUGAAGGGCUGGCUUGCUUGCUGUAAGGAUUAUGUUCCCCCUCCGUGCUGUUGUGCUAAUAAAAUUCAGGCACGUAAACCUGACAUCUCAGAAGUUUUAAGAAAUAAAGUUUUGUGGAUCUUCUCUGUGUUUUUCUGGUCCUUAAAAGGACGUGUGCCUUUUUAUUCAUCAGUAAGAUCAAAGCAGAAAACGCACUCUCUAUUAAAGAAAAGUGUCAUGCAAAGAAUGCCAAGAAAUAUAUAUAUUUUGAUGCUUUUUGUAAAUAAGUUACACUAAUACUUAUGUUUUAGAGGUCGAAAAUAAUAAUGCCUUUUUUCGUUCAUAGCUGGUAAAAUAACUUAAAUAUCCCAGACAGUUUUGUAUUUUAUAUGAACGUGUUUAGCACAAAUGUGUAUAAUUAUUUCUUUGAUUUGUAAGGUGUAAUUAGAUCUGUCAGUCCCUUUCUUAGGUUUUUUUUGACAAAACUAAGAAACGUGUUUAAUGUUAUAAUAUGUGUUUAGAAGGAGGGGGGAAGUAUUCAUUAAUCAAAGAUGUGUUGUCUGAUGUAAAUCAGUGGUCUGUUGACUGUAAAUGCAGAAACAGGUCUUCCUGAUUCAGCAUGAUCUUUUUUUCUUUUUCAUGGGGAAGGAGAGUUUUACUCCUUUAUGGUACAGGCGCAUUCUGUAAAAAUACAUUGAAUCGUAGGGCAUUCAGUGUGAUGUAUGCAUGGCUGAAAGACAGGUGUGAGGUCCUGGGGCAUUGACAAAGGUCCUGGCCUUGCUAAAUAUAAAGGCAACAGUAAUGAUGAUGAUGAUGAGGAAGAGGAAUGUAAUAAUAAUGACAUACCGGUGAAAGACUAUGCUGGCAUGCCUCACAUGCCCUUCUGCUGAUUAUUGUUAAUCUUCAUCAUGUAAUAGGUCCUUGUUUGCCUCUGUUUUCCCAGAAACUCGUUUAAUUUUAAGUCCUAAAGGAGGCAGCCCUUUUCAAAUUAAAACGUGGCCUUCUGGUGACUUCUUCCGCAACAGGUAAACAAUGGUAUUGUUGUUUUUAUAAGACUUCAGCAGUGUCUGCUGUAUUGUUAAUUCCUACAUGGGGCUUUGUUGAAAAUAUUUGCUGUCUUUAAACACUAUUUUAUUUAAAUUUGUUUCUGAAGAGAUCAUGCUUGGCAGAGAUGGUUUGAUAAAUUCUAUAAAAUAAGAAACGUAUUACUAAAUCCCAUAUGUAUCGCACUGACGUAUUGAAAGCUAUGAAAUAAAAAAAUGCACAGAUAGUAAACUAGCUGUCGCAAAACCCCAAAACUGUACCUUAAUUGUAAUACAAUAGGUACGUACGUUCGUGCAACUAAACGUCUCAGAAUGAAAGGUCAGGUAUGUAGAUCAAAAACGCAGCAAUUAGACACUGAUUUAGAAGAUCCAUACAGCAAUAUAAAUUUACCUGCACUGGGUGCAGUUUUGUCGACCAAAAAAACAAUAACCUAAAUUCCAUUUUAAUAACUAUCCGUGGAUUAAGUUUUAGCUUAACGGGGUACAGGUAGGUAUGAAUAUAGUACUGAUAAAUCUAAAGAAACGGAAAUGUAGCCCAACUGAGGCGCACAGUCCAAUGAAUUUGUGCAAAGUAAUACAUGAUAUUCAUCUUUAAGUACAAAUCGUUCAGAACAGCCACAAAAAAGCACAUGGUGUCAAAACACACACGGUGCAGAAGUGUGACGUCCUGUAACGUCUCAACUUUGUGAAAUUUAAGAACAAAGCCGUGCAAACUAUCUCACAAAAGCAAAAACCGAAUUCAUUUGGUUUGUGCAAAAAUAUUACUGUGUUGCCAGGCAUUUGCAGUUGUUAGGAAGCAGGUUUUAACACUAUUUAUUAUUUUUUGGGGGAAAAAAAACACAUCGUUUGGAAUCCUUGUUUCUCUCCAGCCACAUAUACACAGACGUGCACGGUGUUCAGGAAGGUGGGCACUAUAUUAGAAUGUUGGCGUUUGCCAACUGAAUCUUGCUGUUUGCUGGUUCUGCAUGUUAAGACAGCACAGCUAUACUUAAGCAAAGGGAAGCGCUCUGACGGUCGCUGUCCUCUGGUCACAGGUGCUGAUUCAUAAGUCGUGCUAGUAACUGCUGAACGGAAUUACUUGCGUGCCAAAAAACUUUCUUACUUGAGUGUUACAUGCCUUAUUUUAUUUCAGUUAUAAAUAACAAUCUAUUAGGUUCUGAGAUAUAUAGAAAUAUAUCUUUUUUGUUUAAUCAAGAAAAAUAUGUUAAAAAAUCCGAUUCUUAAAAGUUGAGAAAGCUGCAGUUGUGUUUAUAAAAAUUAGAGGUAGUAAUUUGUGACAAUGUAUAUUGUUAUCAAAUUUAAACUGCAUUUGUAGAAGUUGAGGAGACAAUGUGUGACACUUUAUCUUGAAAUUUUAGCACGUUUGUCAAAGUAUUAUACGCCUCCGGUGUUACCUUAAUGAAAUGUUUUACUUUGCAGAUAUGGAAAUAUUUUCUGUGUAUCAUAAAAUAAAUAUAUACAAUUUAAACUUUUUUCUGUCCUUUUUUUCCCACAAGAAUUCAUUAAUUGGAAUGUUUUAUAUCAAAAUAUAGAUAGGCCUAAUUAUGCUAUACGUUUGAAACCAUUUGUUGUAAUACAUUUAACAUAUAUGAUUGUGGAAAAACUAUUAAGUGUCUUGUGAUGUGAAAGAGAGGACGAUAGGCAAUACACUUAAUUUUUAAAACUGAAUCGAUUAACUUUGGACUCAUGUUCGUCUCAUUUCAGAUCGGCAUUAUUAAUUACAAUGCUGCUUUUUCAAAAAAAAAAUUGUAACAGUGAAAAGGUGUAUUUUCUUUGUCUGGAUUUAAUUGCUGUUAUGCUUUGGAAAAAUAUUGUGACUUGUGGAUCGUUAUCUGAGUAACCAGGAUAUGUACUGAAGGUGAUCAUUUUAAACUUUCUGAAAAAAGUACAACAGUGUAAUUUCACCGAAAUGUAUACUUAUUUUAAACAACCACUCUAACAACCACUCUUAGAUAAUGUAAGAAGUAGAUAUUAUAUUACUUUUACUUAUGUGGCAAGGCCUGUAAGCACACGAUUCGCUGAGAGGACAGGAUCAAUGAUUGAAUUUUUAAAUUAAUGUGCAUAUGUACUUUUUUGUGUGUAUAUGCAAUCGUUUAUGUGUGUGGUAUAUUGCGUAGCAUACUAUUGAAGCAUGUAUUUCUUUCCCUUAGAGAUGCAAAAAAAAAAAUGUUUAAAAUCCCAUAAACAACAUGUUACAUAUUUGUUUCAGAGCUCUGACCUUGCUGUGUUCCAAUGUUUUGAUGUAAUGUUAAUUCGGGUGAUUCAUGCAUUGCAUGUAUUUGUUCUGUGAAUCAUAUCUACCCACGUUAUGUGAGCAUUCCUUAAUAAAAAUAAUUUGGCAUAA